GUUAUCUCUUUACGCAAACCCAGUAUGUAAUACCGCAAACUCAUAAAACCUAGCUUGGUGGCUGUCGGCAACGGCUAUUCAUUUCAGUGAAAAAUAGGGGAUCUCAAAACAACAGCUAGUGAAAUUGAAUUGCCCACGAUACAUAGCUUUGUAAUACUACGAGGUCUACGAGAUCAUGGUAGACAAACUCAUAAAGGUCAGUGCAUGGAGUAACGUUUUAAAUUAAGCAAACUCUGGAUUGCAUACCAUUGCCAUUAGUAAGGGCGUGAAGAUCGCGCAAAAUGUCAAGCGUAUGUGAAUCGUUUCAAAUGCAGUGGAGGACGAUUUAAUAGAGGCUUAAGAGUCGGUCAAAAAUGUGUAAAUCUGCACAUGAUGAAGAAGCGGUUUCGACCAUUCUAGGCCUAGAUUGCAUGCCAUAUAGGUAUUGUAACAAAAUCGGUACAUGCAGUCGUUUCACUGGUAAAGUCUAGUAUAGUCUUUAUUUCCGAGAUGUUUAGAAGAGACGUAUAGGGAUGGCAAACCAGAUCUAGAGAAAUAAUGCAUGUCUAUGUCUCUAUAGUUUUGUUUAAUUUCAGAUCUGGUUGUGGCUGAAAAACGUCCGGAUUGGAAAAGGAAAGGAAGGUUCCGAAG